rnacentral:rRNA from 1 species
CCUACGGGUGACAGCAGUGGGGAAUAUUGCACAAUGGGGGAAACCCUGAUGCAGCAACGCCGCGUGAGUGAAGAAGUAUUUCGGUAUGUAAAGCUCUAUCAGCAGGGAAGAAAAUGACGGUACCUGAGUAAGAAGCCUCGGCUAACUACGUGCCAGCAGCCGCGGUAAUACGUAGGGGGCAAGCGUUAUCCGGAUUUACUGGGUGUAAAGGGAGCGUAGACGGCGAUACAAGUCUGAAGUGAAAGCCCGGGGCUCAACCCCGGAACUGCUUUGGAAACUGUGUUGCUGGAGUGAAGGAGAGGCAGGCGGAAUUCCUAGUGUAGCGGUGAAAUGCGUAGAUAUUAGGAAGAACACCAGUGGCGAAGGCGGCUUGCUGGACAGUAACUGACGUUGAGGCUCGAAAGCGUGGGGAGCAAACAGGAUUAGAUACCCCAGUAGUC